rnacentral:rRNA from 1 species
CCUACGGGCGGCUGCAGUGAGGAAUAUUGGUCAAUGGGCGCGAGCCUGAACCAGCCAAGUCGCGUGAGGGAAGACGGUCCUAUGGAUUGUAAACCUCUUUUGUCGGGGAGCAAAAGACGCCACGCGUGGCGUUCCGAGAGUACCCGAAGAAACAGCAUCGGCUAACUCCGUGCCAGCAGCCGCGGUAAUACGGAGGAUGCGAGCGUUAUCCGGAUUUAUUGGGUUUAAAGGGUGCGCAGGCGGAAGGUCAAGUCAGCGGGAAAAUUGAGAGGCUCAACCUCUUCGAGCAGUUGAACCUGGUUUUCGUGAGUGAGUAAGAAGAAUGCGGAAUGCGUGGUGUAGCGGUGAAAUGCAUAGAUAUCACGAAGAACUCCGAUGGCGAAGGCAGCAUACCGGCGCUCAACUGACGCUCAUGCACGAAAGUGUGGGUAUCGAACAGGAUUAGAUACCCUGGUAGUC